rnacentral:rRNA from 1 species
UACGCAAGUAGUGAGGAAGGUGGGGAGUGACGUCAAAUCAGCACGGCCCUUACGUCCAGGGCUACACACGUGCUACAAUGGCCGGUACAAAGGGCAGCUACCUGGUGACAGGAUGCUAAUCUCAAAAGCCGGUCUCAGUUCGGAUCGGAGUCUGCAACCCGACUCCGUGAAGCUGGAAUCGCUAGUAAUCGUGGAUCAGCAUGCCACGGUGAAUACGUUCCCGGGCCUU